AAUAGAUACCCCGGUAGUCCACGCCGUAAACGGUGGGCACUAGGUGUGGGCGACAUUCUACGUCGUCCGUGCCGCAGCUAACGCAUUAAGUGCCCCGCCUGGGGAGUACGGCCGCAAGGCUAAAACUCAAAGGAAUUGACGGGGGGCCCGCACAAGCGGCGGAGCAUGUGGCUUAAUUCGACGCAACGCGAAGAACCUUACCAAGGCUUGACAUACACCGGAAACGUCCAGAGAUGGGCGCCCCCUUGUGGUCGGUGUACAGGUGGUGCAUGGCUGUCGUCAGCUCGUGUCGUGAGAUGUUGGGUUAAGUCCCGCAACGAGCGCAACCCUUGUCCCGUGUUGCCAGCAGGCCCUUGUGGUGCUGGGGACUCACGGGAGACCGCCGGGGUCAACUCGGAGGAAAGUGGGGACGACGUCAAGUCAUCAUGCCCCUUAUGUCUUGGGCUGCACACGUGCUACAAUGGCCGGUACAAUGAGCUGCAAUACCGCGAGGUGGAGCGAAUCUCAAAAAGCCGGUCUCAGUUCGGAUUGGGGUCUGCUAACCG
rnacentral:rRNA from 1 species